ensembl:lncRNA uncharacterized LOC103105716
UUGUUCUUCAGAGUUCUGAGUUUCAUUUGGAGGAUGCUUAAGAAUCUGCUUACUUGACCUGAGACCUUGGCCUUGGUGAAACUGUUCUUAAAUCUUUCCCUUUGAACUACCAUGUGGAUGGGUGAAAAAGGCUGACUCCUUUCUUGGAUUUUCUAAAGGGACUAGCCUCAGGAGAAGACUCCCCACUUGAGAGAGGCUUUGUGAUAGAAGCCCUUGCUUUAUUCAUCCCCGGGCCCUCAGUUCAAGGCUGAGGCCUCUCCACCUGAGGACUAAUUAGCCCUGCCUGGGUUGAACCAGGGGCCAGAGCAAAAUACUUAGUAAUGCAGUGGGUGACCUUGGUGUCUUCAAUGUCUUACAAUGUUCUAAGCACUCUAUAACACCUACUUCAGCUACCUUCAUGACUGUUGGAACAAAUUGUUCUCAUCAACCAAUUCUUUCAGGAGAAAUCUUUAUAUACUUGGGCUAGACAUCACCUUGGUUAAGCCCAUCUUCUGAGAUAAUUUUACCAGUGUGACCUCUGUGCAUGCUACAGCUUCUUGGGCGCCCAAGUGAGAGUUGGGACAACAAAGAGAGUAGAGCACUCCCUGAUACCCCAGCUGCUGGCUACCAUCUCUUUCCCAAGCCUGCUUGCAACCUAUCAAUGUGUCUGCUGUACCAAGUUCCCCAAAAGGUAUAAAAGAUCCAGGACGUUCCUCCCAGAGAUACUGUCCCCAGAGCCCCAGGCUCCCAACUCUGUGUAGUGUCUCGGGGCCUGGCUCUGUGUAGCAGCCGAUUAUGGGACCUAUCCUUCUCCCGAUUAAAGACUUGGCUUUUGUGGACGACU